UACGUAGGGCGCAAGCGUUGUCCGGAAUUAUUGGGCGUAAAGCGUCCGCAGGUGGCUAUUCAAGUCUGCUGUCAAAGCUCGGAGCUUAACUCCGAAUCGGCGGUGGAAACUGAACAGCUAGAGUGCAGUAGGGGUAGAGGGAAUUCCCAGUGUAGCGGUGAAAUGCGUAGAGAUUGGGAAGAACACCGGUGGCGAAAGCGCUCUACUGGACUGCAACUGACACUCAGGGACGAAAGCUAGGGGAGCGAAUGGG
rnacentral:rRNA from 1 species